rnacentral:rRNA from 1 species
UACGUAGGUGGCAAGCGUUGUCCGGAAUUACUGGGUGUAAAGGGCGUGUAGGCGGGAAGGCAAGUCAGAUGUGAAAGCCCAUGGCUUAACUGUGGAACUGCAUCUGAAACUGUUUUUCUUGAGUACUGGAGAGGAAAGUGGAAUUCCUAGUGUAGCGGUGAAAUGCGUAGAGAUUAGGAGGAACACCAGUGGCGAAGGCGGCUUUCUGGACAGUAACUGACGCUGAGGCGCGAAAGCGUGGGGAGCAAACAGGAUUAGAUACCCUGGUAGU